rnacentral:rRNA from 1 species
AGAGUUUGAUCAUGGCUCAGGACGAACGCUGGCGGUGUGCCUCACACAUGCAAGUCGAACGGGGUAGCAAUACCCAGUGGCGGACGGGUGAGUAACACGUGGGAAUCUGCCUUUUAGAGGGGGAUAGCAGGCCGAAAGGCCUAUUAAUACCCCAUAUGCCGCAAGGUGAAAGGAGCAAUCCGCUAGAAGAUGAGCCCGCG